rnacentral:rRNA from 1 species
GAUGAACGCUGGCGGCGUGCCUAAUACAUGCAAGUCGAGCGAACAGACGAGGAGCUUGCUCCUCUGACGUUAGCGGCGGACGGGUGAGUAACACGUGGAUAACCUACCUAUAAGACUGGGAUAACUUCGGGAAACCGGAGCUAAUACCGGAUAAUAUAUUGAACCGCAUGGUUCAAUAGUGAAAGACGGUUUUGCUGUCACUUAUAGAUGGAUCCGCGCCGCAUUAGCUAGUUGGUAAGGUAACGGCUUACCAAGGCGACGAUGCGUAGCCGACCUGAGAGGGUGAACGGCCACACUGGAACUGAGACACGGUCCAGACUCCUACGGGAGGCAGCAGUAGGGAAUCUACCGCAAUGGGCGAAAGACUGACGGAGCAACGCCGCGGGAGUGAUGAAGGUCUUCGGAUCGUAAAACUCUGUUAUUAGGGAAGAACAAAUGUGUAAGUAACUAUGCACGUCUUGACGGUACCGAAUCAGAAAGCCACGGCUAACUACGU